AGUGGUGGCCUUGGCAGUGCUGGCAACAGUUGGACUGGGCGAUCAGAAAGGACUUUUCAACCUCAUUGUCUCUAUGGCUCUAAAGGGGGUGGGCUGGCAGCACGAGGCUGUGGAGCCCAUGGGAAGCACUGGGAGGUGAGGGGCUGGAGGGGAGCGUCCGGACAGGCGAGUCCUGAGCGGUGUCCAUGGGGCCAGGGGGACUCCGGAGGCCCCCUGAACUGCCCGUUCGAGGGGCGCUGGGAGGUGGCCGGAAUCGUCAGCUUUGGCUCGGGGCUGGGCUGCAACACGCUGAGGAAGCCGACGGUGUUCACCCGCGUGUCCGCCUACAUCGACUGGAUCCACGAGACAAUGAGCAGCAACUGAAGAUGCGGCGCGAGGGGCAGCGCGUCUCGAGCGUGAUAAAGGCACAAG